CAGAAAAUAGCCAUCAUGUACAGUUUGUCCAAACUGGUGCGACCAGAUCCUUGACACUUAACUGUACCCGGAUAUUGGCUUCACUUCAUUGCCUACCAAAGCACGUCAUCAUCAAGGCAAAAUGUUUUGCAUGUUUGUCAGCAAGACAUUCACAG